CAGACGGGUGAGUAACGCGUGGGUAACCUGCCUUGCACUGGGGUAUAACACUUAGAAAUAGGUGCUAAUACCGCAUAAGCGCACGGUCCUGCAUGGGACAGUGUGAAAAACUCCGGUGGUGCAAGAUGGACCCGCGUCUGAUUAGCUGGUUGGCGGGGUAAAGGCCCACCAAGGCGACGAUCAGUAGCCGGCCUGAGAGGGUGGACGGCCACAUUGGGACUGAGACACGGCCCCAACUCCUACGGAAGGCAGCAG
rnacentral:rRNA from 1 species